CCCAGCCAGCCCUGGGAGACCUGGGCCAUUGAGGCCCGGUAGAGAGCUCACAUUGCCCCACCUCCCGGAAAUGACUGCUCAAGCCCGCUUAGCAAUCCAGGUCUGUUCCUUCUUUAGGAAGCAACCAAGUGCCAGGGGCCAGAACUGUGAGUCAGGCCAGGAAAGCAGAAGGUCGUUUUACUUUUGACUGUGUGUCACCCUCGGUGUAGCCUCACGGGUUGGCGGCAGAAGGAAAAGAAAAGAUUCCUGUUUAUUUUCAGACUAUGCUUCGAGGCUUCUCUCUGCACUCACAGAGCCCCCUGGGGUGGCAGGGACACCCAGGAGAAUCAACAAGGGAAUAAUCAAAGCUGCUGCCCCUUCCCUGUUCACUUCACAACACUUUGAUAAUGGAGAGGGACGCUGGAGUAUCUGGUUCAAAAUGGCUGCUGGGUGACCCUGAUACUUCUCAGUUGUAUGCUAUGGGGAAUGAGUGGGUGGGGAAGAAGAAAAAGUGGUAGGAUUUUAAUCCAUAAUUACUCAUUAUUUUGUUUACUUGUGAAGGGAACGACUGCAUUUUUGGCACUUCAAAGGACUUGCUUUCAUACAUUAAAUAUUUUGUUUGAGGAAGGGAAAAGCUCAGAUAGUGUUUUCUGUUGAAUAAGUAAUGAGAAAGUAAAUGAAGUCUGUUUUUUCUAGAAAUUCCUUGAGCCAAGGAAUGAUUCCUUGCCCCUAAAAUGUGAGGAUUUCAGGUGACCAGUGAGUUUAAUGUAAGUCAGCUGCAUAAUGUGGCUGCUUAGAAGCCCAUAAUGUAGCUGUGGGCUACAUUAAUAGAAGCAUGAUUGCUAGAAUGAUGGAGGUGAUGGUGCUCCUCUGUGCACUGGAGGGCUCUCUGCUGGAAUUAUGCACUCAGGUCAUGUCCUGUAUGAGUCAAGGUUUCUAGCAGCAAGCAACUCUGGUUCAUUUAAGAAGAAAGAGGGUUUAUUCGAAACUAUUAGAGGAUUACACAGUUGUUGGGAAGGCUGGAGAAACUAUUAAAGGCAGAGCCUUUUGGAAUAACUUACAAACCACGACAGAGUGACAGAGUGAGACUCAAAAAGAAAAAAAAAGAACAGCCAAAGGAACUGGGAUGUUUGGCCUGUAGGAGGGAAGACUUGGGUGACCAUCUUAAUUUUAGUUGUCUUCAUUGCUGCCACUGCUUCCACCAAAUGAUAUGGAGGCAGAAAUCACUAACGGCAUUUCUGUAGCUCCCAGAAACUUGGCUUCAGUGACUGCUCUUUCCACAAGCACCAGUGUCAUUCCUACAUCAGGAACUCAGCCGACCCGAAAAAGCUCAGUGCUUCUGCCUCUACUUGCACUACAUAAUGGAAGCUCCCAUCUCCUCAUGUUGGCCCUUUAGUAUCAAAAUUUCACUGGGUACAUCCACAUCUGACAGGCAGAACCUAGGUCCCAUGCCUGCACCUUAGCUGUAGGGAGGCUGGCAGUUUCAGUUCUUGCCACUACAUUAGGGAGAUAGGAAAUCUACUGUGUGAUUUCUACAAAUAUAGAAAGAUGGUGGGUAGCCAUGAACAUGACAAAUGGCCCCUGUGCUUGACGAAAGUCACAGAGAAAAUGCAGCCUCAUCAGAAGGGAGUAACCAAAGGUGAAAGAACAGCCAAAGGGGCCAGACGUGGUGGCUCAUGCCUGUAAUCCCAGCACUUUGGGAGGCCGAGGUGGGUGGAUCACUUGAGGUCAGGAGUUUGAGACCAGCUUGGCUAACAUGAUGAAACCCCAUUUCUACUAAUACAAAAAAACAAAAUACUAAUACAAAAACUAGCCAGGUGUGGUGGUGGGCACCUGGAAUCCCAGCUACUCAGGAGGCUGAGGCAUGAGAAUCAUUUGAACCCAGGAGGCGGAGGUUGCAGUGAGCUGAGAUCAUGCCGCUGCACUCCAGCCUGAGUGACAGAACGAGACUCAAAAAGAAAAAAAAAAAGAACAGCCAAAGGAACUGGGAUGUUUGGCCUGUAGGAGAGAAUACUUAGGUGACCAUCUUAAUUUUAGUUGUCUUCAAAUAGCAGAACAGGCUUCAUAGAUAAGAGGAAUCGGGCUGAGUGUGGUGGCUCCUGCCUGUAAUACCAACAUUUUGGGAGGCUGAGGCAGGAAGUUUGCUUGUUUCUAGGAGUUCAAGACUGGCCUGGACAACACAGUAUGACCCCAUCUCUGCAGAAAAUUUUAAAAACAUUAGCCAGGUGCAGCGGUUCAUGCCUGUAGUCCCAGCUACUCUGGAGGCUGAAGUGGGAGGAUCACUUGAGCCUGGGAGGUAGAGGCUGCAGUCAGCAGCGAUCAUGCCACUGCACCCCAGCCUGGGCAAUAGAGCAAGACCCCCAUCGAAAAGAAAGAAAAGAAAAGAAAGGAACUAGCUUGUUCAGUAUCAUAAAAAGGAUAAGAGCUGUCCCAGCGACAGACCCUUCAAGGAUUUAGAUUUCACCUAAGUAUAAAUAAGAACUCUUAACAGUCAGAGCAAAGCUUUUCAAAGAUGGAAUGAGGAGGUAGUAGUGAGUUCUCCAUGACAGGAGCCAUUCCAGAAAAUGCUAGCCAACCCCUCGAUAGAGAUUCAAGCAAUAAAGGGAGUGUAGAAUUUAAAGGUUCCUGACAACUCAGGGGUGUUGUCGUUACUAGUUCUCUCCUUCUGAUACACAUCAUCUGGCCUCAGAAAAUGAAUAUCAAUCUUGAUAUAGCUUACGUAGAAUUUGUAAUGACCUCCCAGCCUUCAUUUUUUGGCCACUGCUGCAUUUUAUUUCAGCACGCCACCCUAUUUAUCUUCAUCAGGUUGUGAGGCAGCGGAUCAAUUCAUUAUUCUUACUUAUCUAAUACAGAAGGAAGAAAAAUUGUCCACAAAACCUUACCAGCUGGGAAGGGAAAAAGUAGCUAGAAGCAAUUCGGUCACUGAAAAAUAGAACUUCUUUUUAUAAAGAAAAAAAUGCAUUUCAGCAAAACGAUCAAGUUAGGGAAGGGCCAUUUUUGAGAGUGGGAUGAAAUCCAGGUAUGUGAAUUUGCACACGUCCACCACAUCUCAUAUGCAUUUUUUAAACUGGACUCAACAAAGAAAAACCAUGAGUCAUGCAUUGGUUUGGCAUAAGUGGCUGGUGAGUGAGGUCUCCUGUCCGCCUCAGUCUUCCCUCCUGCAGAAUGGGAAUGUCAUUACAUUAACAUGACAGGUGAUGGAGAGGCACUCUUGCAGCAAUGGUGGUAAGGGACAGCUCUGUCAAAAUGCAGGGAGAAGCAAGAGGGAAGAGAGGGAUUUUCUGUGCCCUGGACAUGGCCACCUCCGAUUUUAUCAUGGGUUGGUUAAUUUCACCUCCCCAGCAGCCUCAGGUCCCCAAAGGCCAGCAGUGGCUCUGUAAGCCAUCAGCCUGAGGCAGUCUACUGGCUGCACUCUUAGUCUACUCUGGAGUAUGAGGAUUCAUCCACCAGGCUCCAGUUUGAUUCACGGCACUCUCUUGACAGCCUCAUUCCCCAGAGUCCCCGAGGACCCCAGCAUUUUGUUCAUCUCCUGCUCUGAGCUCUUCGGGAGGGAAUGUGACUAUGUGACUGUCAGCCAGUUGUCACAUUUCAUCCCAGAGGCAGUGGAAAUGAUGCCUGAAUGCCAUGCCUCUGUGUGCUGCAUCGGAGAUGCCUCUAUGUGACUGAAACAUCAUGGACGAUUUUCAGUACAUGGGAGGCUGUUCUUUUCCAUUCCUUUAUAUUUUGUGCUCAUCUUUAUAUGCCUUUAUCUUCCUUCUCAUAAUAAAUCCUAUAUGGUAAGAAUUUUGAUUCCCAUUUUUACAGAUAGGGAAACUGAGGUGGAGGCAACAAGGCUAAAAAGUGGCAGAGAGGGAAUGUGGACCUAGGCUGACCUGACCUCUAAGCCCAACUCUUUGUGGUGCCUCUUCAGUUACAAUGCCUCCUCUAAAGAGAGAGGGGAGAGAAUAAGAUGCUUCUCUCCUCUCCACUGCUUUGAAAAAUAUGAUCAAGCCAGGCACAGUGCUCAUAUCUGUAAUCUCAGCACUUUGGGAAGCCGAGGCAGGCGGAUUGCUUGAGCCCAGGAGUUUGAGACCAACCUGGGCAACAAAGUGACACCCCGUCUCUACCAAAAAAAAAAAAAAUUGGCCGGGCAUCAUCGUGGGUGCCUAUAGACCCAGCUACUCAGGAGGCUUGAGCCCAGGAGGUGGAGGUUGCAGUGAGCCAAGAUCAUGCCAGGGUGAGUGACAGAAUGAGACCCUGUCUCAAAAAAUAAUAAUAAUAAUAAAUAUGAUCAGCUGGGUGUGGGGGCAUAUG
rnacentral:lncRNA from 10 species